rnacentral:lncRNA from 1 species
CCUGCUGCAAAUAUGCUCAAAAAUUCUCAACUUCUUGACUUUUUGCUCCUUACCCAUCCUUAUAUCAAUACUACAUUGAUUCAAGCAUUUUAUUCCAACCUCCAUGAGGAUGAUGAUGGUGAGCGUGUCACCAACAUUUAUGGUGUUCAAAUUCUUCUUUCCGAUGAAAAUCUUUAUACCAUUGCCCGUCUUCCUCAUAAUGGUGAAGACAUUUUUCGGUACACCGGAGAGGCCGGAGCCCCUUUUUGAUGAAACAGCCCUCUUACACCAAAUCGGUAUUACUUCUUAUGAUCCAAAUCUUUCUUCCCGUCGUCCUACAAUUACGGGAAUGGAUCCCAAUUAUCGGUUGAUUUUCUAUUUCAUCACCCGAGUC